rnacentral:rRNA from 1 species
UAACGGCGAGUGAAGCGGGAACAGCUCAAAUUUGAAAUCUGGCCUUCGGGUCCGAAUUGUAAUUUGCAGAGGAUGCUUUUGGUUAGGUACUUUCCGAGUUCCCUGGAACGGGACGCCUUAGAGGGUGAGAGCCCCGUACGGUUGGAUACCGAGCCUUUGUAAAGCUCCUUCGACGAGUCGAGUAGUUUGGGAAUGCUGCUCUAAAUGGGAGGUAAAUUUCUUCUAAAGCUAAAUACCGGCCAGAGACCGAUAGCGCACAAGUAGAGUGAUCGAAAGAUGAAAAGCACUUUGAAAAGAGGGUUAAAUAGCACGUGAAAUUGUUGAAAGGGAAGCGUUUAUGACCAGACUUUUUCCAGGCGAAUCAUCCGGUGUUCUCGCCGGUGCACUUCGUCUGGUUGAGGCCAGCAUCGGUUUUCGUGGGGGGAUAAAAGCGGUGGGAAUGUGACUCCUCCGGGAGUGUUAUAGCCCGCCGUAUAAUACCUCCAUGGGGACCGAGGUUCGCGCUCUGCAAGGAUGCUGGCGUAAUGGUCAUCAACGACCCGUCUUGAAACACGGACCAAGGAGUCGAACAUUUGUGCGAGUGUUUGGGUGUUAAACCCUCACGCGUAAUGAAAGUGAACGGAGGUGAGAGCCCUUACGGGUGCAUCAUCGACCGAUCCUGAUGUUUUCGGAUGGAUUUGAGUAAGAGCAUAACUGUUCGGACCCGAAAGAUGGUGAACUAUGCGUGGAUAGGGUGAAGCCAGAGGAAACUCUGGUGGAGGCUCGCAGCGGUUCUGACGUGCAAAUCGAUCGUCAAAUCUGCGCAUGGGGCGAAAGAC